GGGGCUAUAGCUCAGUUGGUAGAGCAACUGCCUUGCACGUAGUAGGUCUGCGGUUCAAAUCCGCAUAGCUCCAC
rnacentral:tRNA from 1 species